rnacentral:rRNA from 1 species
UACGUAGGAGGCAAGCGUUGUCCGGAAUUACUGGGCGUAAAGGGCGCGUAGGCGGCCCUGUGUGUCGGGUGUGAAAGCCCACCUCUUAAAGGUGGAAUUGCAUUCGAAACUACAGGGCUGGAGUGUCGGAGAGGAUGGCGGAAUUCCUGGUGUAGAGGUGAAAUUCGUAGAUAUCAGGAGGAACACCGGUGGCGAAGGCGGCCAUCUGGACGACAACUGACGCUGACGGCGGCGAAAAGCGUGGGGAUCAAACAGGG